rnacentral:lncRNA from 1 species
ACUCAGCUGCUGUGAGUUCAGAGAAAGGAGGCGAUGCUGGCUUUGAGGGAGGGUGAAGAAAAUUCUUAAAUCAAUCAGACAAACUAAACAAGGUGGGGAAGACAUACUGGGUCCAUGGAUUAGAAGACUCUGCAUAGCAAGGAUGCCAAUUUCCUCCCGGAUCAACUUUUGUAUUUAAUACAGUUCCAAUCAAAACCCCAGCAGGAUCUCUUGCAGGUAUAGACAGGCUAAUUCUAAAAUGUGUAUAGAAAGGCAAAGGAACUGGAAUAGCCAGAAAUGUUUUGGAAAAAAAAAAAAGACGAAGAAAGUUGGAAGAAUCAUGCUGUCCAAUUUUAAGACUUACUAUAAAGCUACAGGAAGACUGUGGCGUUGGCAGAGGAAUAGACACAGAUCACUGGAAGAGAAUAGAGGGGGGCAGACAUAGACCCACCGAAACAUGGCCAAUCGAAUUUUGACAAAGGUACAAAGCAGUUCAAUGGAGAGAGGUUAUCUUUUCAACAAACAGUAUAGGAGCAAAAAAAAAAAAGUGAACCUCAACCUAAAUCUUAAACCUUAUACAAAAAUCUACUCCAAAUGGAUCACAGAUCAAAAUGUAAAUUGUAAAUGGAGUUCCCAUCGUGGUGCAGCGGAAACGAAUGCGACUAGGAACCAUGAGGUUUCGGGUUCAAUCCCAGGCCUUGAUCAGUGGGUUAAGGAUCCGGUGUUGCCCUGAGCUGUGGUGUAGGUCGAAGACACAGCUCAGAUCUGGCGUUGCUGUGGCUGUGGUGUAGGCUGGCAGCAAGAGCUCCAAUUAGACCCCUAGCCUGGGAACCUCCAUAUGCUGCAGGUGUGGCCCUAAAGAGACCAAAAGGCAAAAAAAAUUUGUAAAAUGUAAAACUUAGAAAACUUUUGGAUGAAAACACAGGAGAAAAUCUUCGUGAUCUAGGGUUACGCAGAAUUCUUAGGCAUGAGACCAAGAGCAUGAUCUGUAAAAGAAAAAUUGAUGAAUUGGACUUCAUCAAAACCAAACACAUUUGCUCUGUGAAAAACACUGUUAAGAGCAAGAAAAAGCAGCCUACCUACGUGGCUGUUGUGUGGGCCGGCAGCUGUAGCUCCGAUUCCACCUCUAGCCUGGGAACCUCCAUAUGUGGCAGGUGCACCCCCCUCAAAAAAAAAAAAAUGGUGAUAUAUGGCAGAAAACUAUUCAGCCACAAAAAAACAACCAUCUAUUGAUAUACUCAACUUGGAUGAAUCUCAGAGGCAUCCUGUUGAGUGAAAGAAACCAAUUUUCCAUCACUUAUAUGCUGCGUAAUUUCAUUUGUAUGAGGUUCUGCAAAAGAUGACACUAUAGACACAAGGAACGGAUCAGUGGUUGCAAGACAUUAAGGGUGAAGGAGAGCUUGGCUACAAAGGGGUAGCACAAAAUUGCUGUUUGGGGUGAUAGAAAUGUCCAGUAUCCUGAUUGUGACAGUGGUUACAAGAAUUUUUACAUGUGUUAAAAUUCACAGAACUAUACACACACACACACACAGGUUGAGGGAUGUUCCUUCGUGAAUUAAACACCCAGGACCGUUCA